rnacentral:rRNA from 1 species
AUGAGUUGCUUCCUGCUGGCAAAAAAGGUUUGCACAAAUUUGACGUCUAGCAUAGCCAGAUAUUGGUGGAGUAGCUCUAUUGACAAGAGGUCGCUUCAUUGGAUAUCUUGGAAAGAGCUCACCAAACCUAAAUGCCAAGGAGGCAUGGGUUUCCGUGAUCUCCAUAUGUUUAACCUAGCUCUUCUCGGCAAACGUAGGUGGCGUUUCGUGACAAAUCCGUCUUCACUUUGUACCAGAGUUAUGAAGGGCAUGUAUUUUCCCGAUUCGGAGUUCCUUCAAGCUGCUGUACCCAAGUCCGCAUCAGCAACUUGGCGGGCUAUCAUCAAAGGACGGGAAGCCCUGCUUGCGGGAAUCGUGAUGCGAGUUGGCGAUGGCACUUCUAUUAAUGCAUGGACUGAUAAGUGGAUCCCAACAACACAUACAAGAACUCUAUUGCUAACACCGAUGGUUCCUACCAUCUCACUACUUAGCGAUCUCAUUGAUUCUGAAAACUGGUCCUAG